AGUGAACGCUGGCGGUAGGCCUAACACAUGCAAGUCGAACGGCAGCACAGUAAGAGCUUGCUCUUACGGGUGGCGAGUGGCGGACGGGUGAGGAAUACAUCGGAAUCUACUUUUUCGUGGGGGAUAACGUAGGGAAACUUACGCUAAUACCGCAUACGACCUACGGGUGAAAGCAGGGGAUCUUCGGACCUUGCGCGAUUGAAUGAGCCGAUGUCGGAUUAGCUAGUUGGCGGGGUAAAGGCCCACCAAGGCGACGAUCCGUAGCUGGUCUGAGAGGAUGAUCAGCCACACUGGAACUGAGACACGGUCCAGACUCCUACGGGAGGCAGCAGUGGGGAAUAUUGGACAAUGGGGGCAAGCCUGAUACAGCCAUACCGCGUGGGUGAAGAAGGCCUUCGGGUUGUAAAGCCCUUUUGUUGGGAAAGAAAAGCAGCAGGUUAAUACCCCGCUGUUCUGACGGUACCCAAAGAAUAAGCACCGGCUAACUUCGUG
rnacentral:rRNA from 1 species